rnacentral:rRNA from 1 species
CCUACGGGGGGCUGCAGUGGGGAAUAUUGGACAAUGGGGGCAACCCUGAUCCAGUCAUGCCGCGUGUGUGAAGAAGGCCCUCGGGUUGUAAAGCACUUUCAGUGAGGAAGAACGCCUGGUGGUUAAUACCCAUCAGGAAAGACAUCACUCACAGAAGAAGCACCGGCUAACUCCGUGCCAGCAGCCGCGGUAAUACGGAGGGUGCGAGCGUUAAUCGGAAUUACUGGGCGUAAAGCGCGCGUAGGUGGCUUGAUAAGCCGGUUGUGAAAGCCCCGGGCUCAACCUGGGAACGGCAUCCGGAACUGUCAAGCUAGAGUGCAGGAGAGGAAGGUAGAAUUCCCGGUGUAGCGGUGAAAUGCGUAGAGAUCGGGAGGAAUACCAGUGGCGAAGGCGGCCUUCUGGACUGACACUGACACUGAGGUGCGAAAGCGUGGGUAGCAAACAGGAUUAGAUACCCCUGUAGUC